ensembl:lncRNA
CCUUACUGUUAGAGGGGUAGAGAAUAGGAAGUGUCCUUACUGUUAGAGGGGUAGAGAAUAGGAAGUAUCCUUAAUGAAGGACCUACUGUUAGAGAGGUAGAGAAUAGGAGGUAUCCUUAAUGAAGGACCUACUGUUAGAGAGGUAGAGAAUAGGAGGUAUCCUUAAUGAAGGACCUACUGUUAGAGAGGUAGAGAAUAGGAGGUAUCCUUAAUGAAGGACCUACUGUUAGAGAGGUAGAGAAUAGGAGUUAUCCUUAAUGAAGGACCUACUGUUAGAGAACUACUUCCCAGCUACAAACACAAACAUGGAUAUUAUUCAGCAGAAGAGACUCAUAUUUUCUUCCUCAAGUGUGCUCUUCCUUCACUCCCCCAUGUUUCUUACUCCUGUCCAUGGUGUGGAGUCAACAAGUACACACUUCUAAGGUAGAGAAUUGGGACUCAUCAAAAGGCCUUCUAUAAGAUCCUGGAUCAACCUAACCCUUUGGUCUGUUUGUCUGAGAGAGAGAGAGAGAGAGAGACAUGGUUCAGAGAGAGAGAGAGAGAGACAUGGUUCAGAGAGAGAGAGAGAGAGAGAUGGUUCAGAGAGAGAGAGAGAGACAUGGUUCAGAGAGAGAGAGAGAGACAUGGUUCAGAGAGAGAGAGAGA